GGGGAAUUGGCUCAAAUGGUAUAGUGCUCGCUUAGAAUGCAAGAGGUAGCAAGAUUGAUUCCUGCAUUCUCCA
rnacentral:tRNA from 1 species